rnacentral:rRNA from 1 species
CCUACGGGCGGCAGCAGUGAGGAAUAUUGGUCAAUGGACGAGAGUCUGAACCAGCCAAGUAGCGUGAAGGAUGACUGCCCUAUGGGUUGUAAACUUCUUUUCUAUGGGAAUAAAAUGUUCCACGUGUGGGAUUUUGUAUGUACCAUAUGAAUAAGGAUCGGCUAAAUCCCUGCCAGCAGCCGCGGUAAUACGGAGGUACUGAGCGUUUACCGGAUUUAUUGGGUUUAAAGGGAGCGUAGGGGGAUUGUUAAGUCAGGUGUGAAAGUUUGCGGCUCAACCUUAAAAUUGCAGUUGAAACUGGCAGUCUUGAGUACAGUAGAGGUGGGCGGAAUUCGUGGUGUAGCGGUGAAAUGCUUAGAUAUCACGAAGAACUCCGAUUGCGAAGGCAGCUCACUGGACUGCAACUGACACUGAGGCUCGAAAGUGCGGGUAUCAAACAGGAGUAGAUACCCUUGUAGUC